AUUUUGAGAUAUAAGUUGUGCAUGAAUUUAUUGGUAUGGAACAAUUAGGAAAAUUUGGGACCAAAGGUGAUAAAAUUUGAAGUGGAAAGUCAUCCACAAAUUCCAUGUGGUGCCCACACAACUUUGUGUCAUCUUCUAAGUGGAACAACUCAUUAUGUGGGCCAAGGCACCCUUGACUAAGUCUUGCAUUGUUAAAAAGAUGACCACUUCAUUUCACUUCACUCCAACUCUUAAAAAAAAAGAAGGAAUUGAAGAGCACCACAAUAAGGGGGCUCUCGGCCAGCCCAAGGAAAAAUCCACCCCCAUUUCUUGCUCUUCCAAAAUUAUUUCCUUGGUACAAACCCACUAUUUUGAGGUCCCUAAGUAGCGUGGGAGUGUCGUUGGAGCGAUCAACCCAUUAUUUUUCAUCCAUUGGAAACCCUAGCAUUUUGUGGAAUUGAAGAGGAUAGAUCGUGGGCAGCCCGAAUCAUAGGUUGGAUUUAGCUUGAGUUUGGAUCGUAUUGGAGAGCGUUUGAGGUACGGACGCACAGCCUGGUGAUCCACCUGUUUAGGACACCCU